CAGAGUACUCCCUCGGGAGCAUCUCCACCCUGUGCGAACCAACUUAGUUGCUUUGGCGGGCCGCGCUUCGCCGCCGGCUCAGCUGGCGAGUGCCCGCCAGAGGCUUUUUACAUUCUGUUUACAUGAGUCUGAGCGAGAAAUUAAUAGCGAA
rnacentral:misc_RNA from 1 species